rnacentral:rRNA from 1 species
CAGCAGCCGCGGGAAAACGGAGGGGGCUAGCGUUGUUCGGAAUUACUGGGCGUAAAGCGCACGUAGGCGGAUCAGAAAGUCAGAGGUGAAAUCCCAGGGCUCAACCUUGGAACUGCCUUUGAAACUCCUGGUCUUGAGGACGAGAGAGGUGAGUGGAAUUCCGAGUGUAGAGGUGAAAUUCGUAGAUAUUCGGAGGAACACCAGUGGCGAAGGCGGCUCACUGGCUCGAUACUGACGCUGAGGUGCGAAAGCGUGGGGAGCAAACAGGAUUAGAUACCCGUGUAGUCCCUGUCUCUUAUAA